rnacentral:rRNA from 1 species
CCUACGGGGGGCAGCAGUGGGGAAUAUUGCACAAUGGGGGAAACCCUGAAGCAGCAAUGCCGCGUGGAGGAAGAAGGUUUUCGGAUUGUAAACUCCUUUUGUCAGAGACGAUAAUGACGGUAUCUAAAGAAAAAGCACCGGCUAACUACGUGCCAGCAGCCGCGGUAAUACGUAGGGUGCAAGCGUUAUCCGGAAUUACUGGGCGUAAAGAGAGCGUAGGCGGGACGGCAAGUCAGAUAUGAAAACUUAUGGCUCAACCAUCAGACUGCAACUGAUACUGUUAUACUUGAGUAUGGAAGAGGAAG